rnacentral:rRNA from 1 species
GAUGAACGCUGGCGGCGUGCCUAAUACAUGCAAGUCGAGCGAACGGACGAGAAGCUUGCUUCUCUGAUGUUAGCGGCGGACGGGUGAGUAACACGUGGAUAACCUACCUAUAAGACUGGGAUAACUUCGGGAAACCGGAGCUAAUACCGGAUAAUAUUUUGAACCGCAUGGUUCAAAAGUGAAAGACGGUCUUGCUGUCACUUAUAGAUGGAUCCGCGCUGCAUUAGCUAGUUGGUAAGGUAACGGCUUACCAAGGCAACGAUGCAUAGCCGACCUGAGAGGGUGAUCGGCCACACUGGAACUGAGACACGGUCCAGACUCCUACGGGAGGCAGCAGUAGGGAAUCUUCCGCAAUGGGCGAAAGCCUGACGGAGCAACGCCGCGUGAGUGAUGAAGGUCUUCGGAUCGUAAAACUCUGUUAUUAGGGAAGAACAUAUGUGUAAGUAACUGUGCACAUCUUGACGGUACCUAAUAAGAAAGCCACGGCUAACUACGUG